rnacentral:tRNA from 1 species
CAUUAAGAAGCUAUUGCAGCAUCAACCUUUUAAGUUGAAGACGGAGAUUUAAACAUUUCCCUUAAUGA